rnacentral:rRNA from 1 species
UAGCAUAUCAAUAAGCGGAGGAAAAGAAACCAACUGGGAUUGCCCUAGUAACGGCGAGUGAAGCGGCAACAGCUCAAAUUUGAAAUCUGGCUCCUCCUCGGGGUCCGAGUUGUAAUUUGCAGAGGAUGCUUUGGCGUGGCUCCGGUCUAAGUCCCUUGGAACAGGGCGUCGUAGAGGGUGAGAAUCCCGUAUGCGACCGGCCGCCUUCGCCGUGUAAAGCUCCUUCGACGAGUCGAGUUGUUUGGGAAUGCAGCUCUAAAUGGGAGGUAAAUUUCUUCUAAAGCUAAAUAUUGGCCAGAGACCGAUAGCGCACAAGUAGAGUGAUCGAAAGAUGAAAAGCACUUUGGAAAGAGAGUUAAAAAGUACGUGAAAUUGUUGAAAGGGAAGCGCUUGCAACCAGAUCUGCCCGCAGUUGCUCACCCGGGCUUCUGCCCGGUGCACUCUUCUGCGGGCAGGCCAGCAUCGGUUUGGGCGGCCGGACAAAGGCUUCGGGAAUGUGGCUCCUCUCGGGGAGUGUUAUAGCCCGUCGCGCAAUGCGGCCAGCCCGGACCGAGGUCCGCGCUUCGGCUAGGAUGCUGGCGUAAUGGUUGUAAGCGGCCCGUCUUGAAACACGGACCAAGGAGUCUACCAUCUGUGCGAGUGUUUGGGUGUCAAACCCAUGCGCGUAAUGAAAGUGAACGGAGGCGGGAACCUUCGGGUGCACCGUCGACCGAUCCUGAUGUCUUCGGAUGGAUUUGAGUAAGAGCAUGGCUGGUGGGACCCGAAAGAUGGUGAACUAUGCUUGAAUAGGGUGAAGCCAGAGGAAACUCUGGUGGAGGCUCGCAGCGGUUCUGACGUGCAAAUCGAUCGUCAAAUUUGGGCAUAGGGGCGAAAGACUAAU